rnacentral:rRNA from 1 species
UACGGAGGGUGCAAGCGUUGUUCGGAAUCACUGGGCGUAAAGGGCGUGUAGGCGGUCUGUUAAGUCUGGUGUGAAAUCCCCCCGCUCAACGGGGGAACGGCGCCGGAAACUGGCAGACUAGAGUACCGGAGAGGAAGGUGGAAUUCCCGGUGUAGCGGUGAAAUGCGUAGAUAUCCGGAGGAAGACCGGUGGCGAAGGCGGCCUGCUGGGCAGUUACUGACACUGAGGCGCGACAGCGUGGGGAGCAAACAGG